AAUGCUCACAGUAGACCUCACUUUAGCCACAACAAAAGCAGCCUUCUGUGAAGGGGUAGGACUCAUCCAACUUGUUUUUUUUUUUUUUUUUUUCUCCAGGGCAGCUGCCUUCUUCUUUUGGGGGCCAUCUGUCACAAGAUUUUCUCUUUCUUUGGCGGUAUGAGGGUGACAUAAGUACCCUAGUAGGGGACUAGUGCUUCUUUAGAAAGCUUCUCAGUUCAAAGAUGCAUUGCCUUUGAAGAAAACCAAUGGUGCCUGGGAAACCUCCACAUCCAUAUGAAUGGAAAGUCUCCAAAAAUUGAGGUGAAGGAAGAAAAGAGACAUUGAGAACAGUGUUUGAUGAGAGAUGAGCUUGGGAGUGGCUCAUGGAUGAAAUGAAAGUGAGGAAAUCCAUUCCCCAAAGAUUGGGAUAUGCCCUUCUGCUUGGGUUCCACUACAGACCUAUGUAAAAACUUUUAAAAACAUAGGGGAAACAUUUUGGUCAUGCUGAGUUCCACGUGACUAUUGGAUUCCAAAAUGAAGAUAUCAACUAAGCAGCUGGAUCCAUGAGUGCAAAGGUCAGGGGAGAUCUAUGGCUUGGAGAGAGACAGGAGAGAGUCUUCCACUGGGGAGAGGGCACUCCGAGCCAUGACCUAGAUGAGAUCAUCAAGACAGCAGGUUUAGACAAAAAGUAAAGAAAUGGAAAGUCUGAGUCCUUGGACGGUCCAUCACCAACAGCCCUGAGACGAGGAGGAAGGGCAAAGGAGACUAAGAAGAAAAGGAAAAGAGGCAGAAGGAAGGAAAGGAGAGAGUGAUAUGUGGAAAAUCAAAGGAGAAAAUGUGUCAAGAUGAAGAAGAGCAAAGUAAAACCAGGAUUGAUAAAAGAUGAGCUGAUUAGUAAUGUGCUGCUUAGUGCCCUUGCCCAGAGCAUUCUCAACAGAGUUAUGGUGAUGAAAGUUUUAUUGGAGGGGGUUCAAGAGAGCCUGGGAGGACAGAAAUUGGAGUUAGCCUGAGAUUUGCUUUAAACAGAAGGGAAGAAUGAGGUUUCAGCUAGUAGCCUUCAAGAAAAGUUUUUUUUUUUUUUUUAACUGUAAAAGACGGGUAAAAUAAAAGAAAUUUUAAAGGGGGAAAAUAGAAGAUUUUUACUGGAAUUGGGAAUAUAAGACUAUCACAUUUUUUCCAGGAAAAAUAAACCACUAAUUGGUGGAAUAUUUUCAGAUCUUUGGGCACUCUGCCUCUGACCACCUUCUUUAAGGUCAGAAUCAGGAAGAAAUAGCUCAAAGUUAUGGAAGAGAAAAAAAAAAAAAAAGAUCUUUCCAGAACAGUAUGGCAGUAUGGUGACCACCUCUGGCUUCCAUUUAUAAGACAGUCUUAUCUCCUACCAGCUUUCUUAUCUUUUUUGGCAGUAGUUUCUCCUCCCUCCCUCCCCCACUGCCCAGUCCUCCCUCCUUAUCCUGAAAGCCAAUGGGAAACAGCCCCUCUGAAUUAAGCCCCUUAAAUUUUGUGUUCUUCCAUGAAAAUCUCUUUGGAGAAAGAAAUCUCUUCUGAA